rnacentral:rRNA from 1 species
AUUGAUUGGUGCUUGCAUCAUGAUUUACAUUUGAGUGAGUGGCGAACUGGUGAGUAACACGUGGGAAACCUGCCCAGAAGCGGGGGAUAACACCUGGAAACAGAUGCUAAUACCGCAUAACAACUUGGACCGCAUGGUCCGAGCUUGAAAGAUGGCUUCGGCUAUCACUUUUGGAUGGUCCCGCGGCGUAUUAGCUAGAUGGUGGGGUAACGGCUCACCAUGGCAAUGAUACGUAGCCGACCUGAGAGGGUAAUCGGCCACAUUGGGACUGAGACACGGCCCAAACUCCUACGGGAGGCAGCAGUAGGGAAUCUUCCACAAUGGACGAAAGUCUGAUGGAGCAACGCCGCGUGAGUGAAGAAGGGUUUCGGCUCGUAAAACUCUGUUGUUAAAGAAGAACAUAUCUGAGAGUAACUGUUCAGGUAUUGACGGUAUUUAACCAGAAAGCCACGGCUAACUACGUGCCAGCAGCCGCGGUAAUACGUAGGUGGCAAGCGUUGUCCGGAUUUAUUGGGCGUAAAGCGAGCGCAGGCGGUUUUUUAAGUCUGAUGUGAAAGCCUUCGGCUCAACCGAAGAAGUGCAUCGGAAACUGGGAAACUUGAGUGCAGAAGAGGACAGUGGAACUCCAUGUGUAGCGGUGAAAUGCGUAGAUAUAUGGAAGAACACCAGUGGCGAAGGCGGCUGUCUGGUCUGUAACUGACGCUGAGGCUCGAAAGUAUGGGUAGCAAACAGGAUUAGAUACCCUGGUAGUCCAUACCGUAAACGAUGAAUGCUAAGUGUUGGAGGGUUUCCGCCCUUCAGUGCUGCAGCUAACGCAUUAAGCAUUCCGCCUGGGGAGUACGGCCGCAAGGCUGAAACUCAAAGGAAUUGACGGGGGCCCGCACAAGCGGUGGAGCAUGUGGUUUAAUUCGAAGCUACGCGAAGAACCUUACCAGGUCUUGACAUACUAUGCAAAUCUAAGAGAUUAGACGUUCCCUUCGGGGACAUGGAUACAGGUGGUGCAUGGUUGUCGUCAGCUCGUGUCGUGAGAUGUUGGGUUAAGUCCCGCAACGAGCGCAACCCUUAUUAUCAGUUGCCAGCAUUAAGUUGGGCACUCUGGUGAGACUGCCGGUGACAAACCGGAGGAAGGUGGGGAUGACGUCAAAUCAUCAUGCCCCUUAUGACCUGGGCUACACACGUGCUACAAUGGAUGGUACAACGAGUUGCGAACUCGCGAGAGUAAGCUAAUCUCUUAAAGCCAUUCUCAGUUCGGAUUGUAGGCUGCAACUCGCCUACAUGAAGUCGGAAUCGCUAGUAAUCGCGGAUCAGCAUGCCGCGGUGAAUACGUUCCCGGGCCUUGUACACACCGCCCGUCACACCAUGAGAGUUUGUAACACCCAAAGUCGGUGGGGUAACCUUUUAGGA